UUCUAAUGAUGAGCUUUCCAUGCUAAUACUGAUGCACCAGAAUUUGACUGUGUCACUCUGGGUGUCAGUCAUUUCAACUAAACUUGCAGGGGUUCUAAACAAA
rnacentral:snoRNA from 1 species